rnacentral:rRNA from 1 species
ACUCCUACGGGAGGCAGCAGUGGGGAAUAUUGCACAAUGGGGGAAACCCUGAUGCAGCCAUGCCGCGUGUGUGAAGAAGGCCUUCGGGUUGUAAAGCACUUUCAGUAGGGAGGAAGGUAGUGUAGUUAACACCUGCAUUAUUUGACGUUACCUACAGAAGAAGCACCGGCUAACUCCGUGCCAGCAGCCGCGGUAAUACGGAGGUGCGAGCGUUAAUCGGAAUUACUGGGCGUAAAGCGCAUGCAGGCGGCUUGUUAAGUCAGAUGUGAAAGCCCGGGGCUUAACCUCGGAAUUGCAUUUGAAACUGGCAGGCUAGAGUCUUGUAGAGGGGUUAGAAUUUCAGGUGUAGCGUGAAAUGCGUAGAGAUCUGAAGGAAUACCAGUGGCGAAGGCGGCCCCCUGGACAAAGACUGACGCUCAGAUGCGAAAGCGUGGGAGCAAACAGGAUUAGAUACCCCUGGUAGACUGUCA